rnacentral:rRNA from 1 species
AGUACCACCAUGUUCGCGUCCGUCCCAAUACUCUGUUGCUAAGGGGCUGUGUUGACUUCGGUCAACGCGAACCGACCCACAUUGUUGCGGGAAGCUGUAGGGGGACGCAGGAAGGUAGAUGAACCCGGUGAAUGGUAGAACCGGGGUAAGCGUGUAGGAGGAGGACCAGGUAAAUCCGGGCCUCAUAAACUCUGAGACGUGAUACCGAGCCGCUUCAGGCGAAGUCAUUGAUCCUAUGCUGCCUAGAAAAGCCCAGCAGCGAGUUGACAUGGUGCCCGUACCCCAAACCAACACAGGUGGACAGGUAGAGCAUACCAAGGCGAGUGGGAUAACUAUGGUUAAGGAACUCGGCAAAUUGCCUCCGUAACUUCGGGAGAAGGAGGACCCCAGUAGCGUGAUGAGACUUGCUCUCUGAGCGUGAAGGGGUGGCACAAAAUUGAGGGAAGCGACUGUUUACCAAAAACACAGCAGCGUGCUAAGCCGUAAGGCGCUGUAUACGCUGUGACUCCUGCCCGGUGCUGGAAGGUUACGGGGAUGGGUUAGUCCUUCGGGACGAAGCUCUGAACCUAAGCCCCAGUAAACGGCGGCCGUAACUAUAACGGUCCUAAGGUAGCGAAAUUCCUUGUCGGGUAAGUUCCGACCUGCACGAAUGGAGUAACGACUUCCCUACUGUCUCAACCAUAGACCCAGCGAAAUUGAAGUACGAGUAAAGAUGCUCGUUAGCUGCAGAAGGACGGAAAGACCCCGUGGACCUUUACUAUAACUUGAUGUUGUGUUUUGUCAUAUGUUGUGUAGGAUAGGUGGGAGACUUGGAAGCAUGGACGCUAGUCUGUGUGGAGUCAUCGUUGAAAUACCACCCUGCAUAUGGUGAGGCUCUAACCUAGACCCGUUAUCCGGGUUGGGGACAGCGUCAGGCGGGUAGUUUAACUGGGGCGGUUGCCCCCUAAAGAGUAACGGAGGCGCCCAAAGGUUCCCUCAGCCUGGUUGGCAAUCAGGCGUUGAGUGCAGUGGCAAAAGGGAGCUUGACUGCGAGACCUACAAGUCGAGCAGGAGCGAAAGCUGUGCAUAGUGAUCCGGCGGUUGCGUGUGGAAGCGCCGUCGCUCAACGGAUAAAGGGUACCCCGGGGAUAACAGGCUAAUCUUGCCCAAGCGUCCAUAGCGACGGCAAGGUUUGGCACCUCGAUGUCGGCUCAUCGCAUCCUGGGGCUGAAGCAGGUCCCAAGGGUUGGGCUGUUCGCCCAUUAAAGCGGUACGCGAGCUGGGUUCAGAACGUCGUGAGACAGUUCGGUCCCUAUCCUCUGCAGCCGGAGGUGAAUUGAGGAAAGCUGUCCCUAGUACGUG